ensembl:lncRNA
CUUGAAAGUACGCUUGCAGAUGUAUAGGUACGGUGAAGCCCACACUCCUUGCUUAGAGCAGGGGGUUGGACCCUCACCUUGAACACACUGUUGAUGAAAUUUGCUGCUGAUGAGGGACAGAACCCACAGACUCUGUCGAAGACUGACUGUUCCUGUGGCUUUGCUUGCCCGGUGUGGAGGUGAAGGGAGUGUGAGCUGCAUCUUAUGGAAAGCAUGCACAUGCACAUUGGGCGCCUCUUGCAGCCAUGUGUUUUCUUGCAGAACAACAAUGAGAUGAAGAUGGGGCAUUAAGCCCUUGGAGAACAUUGACACAUUGCAUGGACAACAAGAUGACCUUGGUAUGGACUCAAUCCUGUUUACACUGUACUUAGAGUGCAUCACUAUAAAACCAAAUCAAAGGAGUAAUCUCAAGAGGAAUAUAGCUCUCUCUAAAUGUGAAAGACAUUAAGCAAACAUUCUUCUGUCCACUGAGACUGUCAAGACUCUUCUCACUCUGAAGUUUACAUACCAUCUCCUGUUUCUGUAUUAAUGUGAAGAAAGCCAAGACAAACAGAAGCUUGGAAAUCACAUGGGAAGAAGUUUCCUUUGUCUGUGGAUCUUUUUGACAGAGGGCAGUUUUCUGGGCCAUCAAGAACUUGAAAUAGUUCCUUGGUUAUACUUGACCUGGAUUUGCCAUUCCCAGACCACUUGUAAGAAGACAGCAAUUUUGCUAUGCUGAAAUAUGUCUGAAAUAAAACUGUUUUGAGGAUAUGUCCACUAUCAGUAGAUAGUCAUGUACCUCAUUCCCUUUUUCCCAUAUUGCUAUGGAGAGGUAUAAAUUCCAUCUGCAUGUGGGAUGCUGCACACUGGUAGGUGUUAGACAACAUAAAACUAAGGCACAAAGAAGGCAGUAAUGAAGACAAGAAGGCAUCAGUGAGGAAGCAUUUCUCAGAUAAGAAGCCAAAAUACAAACAGGAACCAGUUUCACUUAAAGUCCUACCAAAGACAAUUAAAUGCAGUAAAUUAGAUGUUAACAAUGAUGAAGUUUGGAAGAAAAAUCCCAAUAAGAAUGCUCAUGAUUGAGCACGAGCAAGGUAUGAGCUGAUGAAGCAAUGAGUGUAUUAAAGGAGUUUCUUAUGUUUUAUGCAUGGACUUCUGAGCAGAAAAACUACAAACAUGACACUUCUUAUCCAUACUUCAGGUUUAUUAUUUUGUAAUUAAGUUUUGUU